UACGGAGGAUGCAAGCGUUAUCCGGAUUCAUUGGGUUUAAAGGGUGCGUAGGCGGAAUACUAAGUCAGCGAUGAAAUCCUGCAGCUUAACUGUAGAACUGUCAUUGAUACUGGUAUCCUUGAAUGCAGUUGAGGUAGGCGGAAUGUGUAAUGUAGCGGUGAAAUGCAUAGAUAUUACCCAGAACACCGAUUGCGAAGGCAGCUUACUAAACUGUGAUUGACGCUGAGGCACGAAAGCGUGGGGAGCAAACAGG
rnacentral:rRNA from 1 species